rnacentral:SRP_RNA from 1 species
GCAGGGCGUUGUGGCGAGUGCCUGUAGUCCCGGCUACUUGGGAGGCUGAGGUAGGAGGAUCACUUGAGCUCGGGAAGUCAAGACUGCAGUGAACUAUGACUGCAGCACUGCACUCCAGCCUGGGUGACAGAGUGAGACCCUGUCUCAA